GUAAUGUCUGGGAAACUGCCUGAUGGAGGGGGAUAACUACUGGAAACGGUGGCUAAUACCGCAUAACGUCGCAAGACCAAAGAGGGGGACCUUCGGGCCUCUUGCCAUCAGAUGUGCCCAGAUGGGAUUAGCUUGUUGGUGAGGUAACGGCUCACCAAGGCGACGAUCCCUAGCUGGUCUGAGAGGAUGACCAGCCACACUGGAACUGAGACACGGUCCAGACUCCUACGGGAGGCAGCAGUGGGGAAUAUUGCACAAUGGGCGCAAGCCUGAUGCAGCCAUGCCGCGUGUAUGAAGAAGGCCUUCGGGUUGUAAAGUACUUUCAGCGGGGAGGAAGGUGUUGUGGUUAAUAACCGCAGCAAUUGACGUUACCCGCAGAAGAAGCACCGGCUAACUCCGUGCCAGCAGCCGCGGUAAUACGGAGGGUGCAAGCGUUAAUCGGAAUUACUGGGCGUAAAGCGCACGCAGGCGGUCUGUCAAGUCGGA
rnacentral:rRNA from 1 species